UACCCGUAGACACACCUUCAUAUCUAUCGGAAGAAGUGAUGCUUUUACAGAUGGAGCCCGUUAUCUUCUCCAAUAACAAGCCAGAUACGUCGGCGUGUAAGACUAAAUGGGUAAGGAUAAUAAAUGCCCUAUAAAUAACCCUUUUUCACUUGUUUGGUUUCUUUCGUCUUGUGGCGGCAUUCUGACGGCAAGGUUGGUCCGACCGGACCGGGCCGAACCUUCACUCGAUUUGGAUUAUGGGCCGUUUUAAGUUAGACAAAUUUGGCCCAUAGGCUGGCCCAAUUAAUUGAGGAGUGUAAUUGAUAAUGACAUACAUAAGGAUACACGAUCUCGAUCUUUAGAAUAAUGAUAAUACCCUCUCGAAUUAUCUUAUUUUAGAAUCCACUUUGAUUAAUAUAUAUAUAUAUAUAUAUUUGGGUAUUUUAGAAAUAUUUAAUAUUUUAAGUAAUUGUUCUAACAACAUCUUCAUAUUUAAUAUUGGAAAGAAAAAGGAAAGAGCAGAGGAUCAUGGAACAGAGUGCAUGCUUCUUCUCCCCUCCUCUCGAUUCAUAUUUGAAACUGUGUCCCGAUGAUAUCUGAUACUAUACUGUGGAAGCGUGUGUUC
rnacentral:lncRNA from 1 species